GUAACAAGGUCUCCGUUGGUGAACCAGCGGAGGGAUCAUUACUGAGUUUACGCUCUAUAACCCUUUGUGAACAUACCUAUAACUGUUGCUUCGGCGGGUAGGGUCUCCGUGACCCUCCCGGCCUCCCGCCCCCGGGCGGGUCGGCGCCCGCCGGAGGAUAACCAAACUCUGAUUUAACGACGUUUCUUCUGAGUGGUACAAGCAAAUAAUCAAAACUUUUAACAACGGAUCUCUUGGUUCUGGCAUCGAUGAAGAACGCAGCGAAAUGCGAUAAGUAAUGUGAAUUGCAGAAUUCAGUGAAUCAUCGAAUCUUUGAACGCACAUUGCGCCCGCCAGCAUUCUGGCGGGCAUGCCUGUUCGAGCGUCAUUUCAACCCUCAAGCUCUGCUUGGUGUUGGGGCCCUACAGCUGAUGUAGGCCCUCAAAGGUAGUGGCGGACCCUCCCGGAGCCUCCUUUGCGUAGUAACUUUACGUCUCGCACUGGGAUCCGGAGGGACUCUUGCCGUAAAACCCCCAAUUUUCCAAAGGUUGACCUCGGAUCAGGUAGGAAUACCCGCUGAACUUAAGCAUA
rnacentral:rRNA from 1 species